rnacentral:rRNA from 1 species
GACGAACGCUGGCGGCGUGCUUAACACAUGCAAGUCGAACGGAAAGGCCCUGCUUUUGUGGGGUGCUCGAGUGGCGAACGGGUGAGUAACACGUGAGUAACCUGCCCUUGACUUUGGGAUAACUUCAGGAAACUGGGGCUAAUACCGGAUAGGAGCUCCUGCUGCAAUGGUGGGGGUUGGAAAGUUUCGGCGGUUGGGGAUGGACUCGCGGCUUAUCAGCUUGUUGGUGGGGUAGUGGCUUACCAAGGCUUUGACGGGUAGCCGGCCUGAGAGGGUGACCGGCCACAUUGGGACUGAGAUACGGCCCAGACUCCUACGGGAGGCAGCAGUGGGGAAUAUUGCACAAUGGGCGGAAGCCUGAUGCAGCAACGCCGCGUGCGGGGAUGACGGCCUCGGUGU